rnacentral:rRNA from 1 species
UACGGAGGGUGCAAGCGUUGAUCGGAAUUAUUGGGCGUAAAGCGCACGUAGGCGGCCGACUAAGUCGGGUGUGAAAGCCCUGGGCUCAACCCAGGAAGUGCACUCGAAACUGACCGGCUUGAAUAUGGAAGAGGGUCGCGGAAUUCCCGGUGUAGAGGUGAAAUUCGUAGAUAUCGGGAGGAACACCAGUGGCGAAGGCGGCGACCUGGGCCAAUAUUGACGCUGAGGUGCGAAAGCGUGGGGAGCAAACAGG